AAUCUCUGGUCACACCAUAGUUUACAUUUGGGCAGCUUAAAAAAAACAAAAACAUGCUGAUUCGCGAAUUGCUUGCUUUUUACCAAUAAGGGGCCCAAUCUAUGCGUUAAUUCCUGGGAAAGUUGCCACAAUGUAUUCCCAAAGAGGUAGCCGAAAUUUCAACAUCAUUUUGGGAUCUUUGAUCAACGGAAACCACGACGUUAGACUCGACAACGUAAUCACAAUUGCAAACGCCGCUACUAUUGAUCAACAAUGGAUUCCAAGCGAGGGCGAGAUUUCAGUGUAGCUAUGACAUCGAAUAAUUGAAGAUACAUCUCCAACUCCAGCCGUGGAAUUUCUUGUGUAAGGAUCUGGUGAUAAUUAUGAAUUUGACUUGCGAAUUCAUAAAAACCCUGCUCUGCGUUCCAAAUUAGUCAGCUAAAAAGCGAGAAUCGCCACAUUUAGCCUUAGAAUAUGCAUUAAAGCUAAACUUCAUCCGCUUCUCCAACUUUGGCUCCAUCUUCAGCUCCAUCGUCGUCGCCUUGAAUUUUGCGUAGUU